GACGAACGCUGGCGGCGUGCUUAACACAUGCAAGUCGAACGGAAAGGCCCUGCUUUUGUGGGGUGCUCGAGUGGCGAACGGGUGAGUAACACGUGAGUAACCUGCCCUUGACUUUGGGAUAACUUCAGGAAACUGGGGCUAAUACCGGAUAGGAGCUCCUGCUGCAUGGUGGGGGUUGGAAAGUUUCGGCGGUUGGGGAUGGACUCGCGGCUUAUCAGCUUGUUGGUGGGGUAGUGGCUUACCAAGGCUUUGACGGGUAGCCGGCCUGAGAGGGUGACCGGCCACAUUGGGACUGAGAUACGGCCCAGACUCCUACGGGAGGCAGCAGUGGGGAAUAUUGCACAAUGGGCGGAAGCCUGAUGCAGCAACGCCGCGUGCGGGAUGACGGCCUUCGGGUUGUAAACCGCCUUCGCCUGUGACGAAGCGUGAGUGACGGUAAUGGGUAAAGAAGCACCGGCUAACUACGUG
rnacentral:rRNA from 1 species